rnacentral:lncRNA from 12 species
UUUUAAGCUUCCUUUAGAGAUUGUAAUAAUAUUAACUAACCUUUUAAGGCUUUGUCAUUGUUUUCUUCUUUUUUUUUUUUUUCAAGUUUCUGUAAAGAAUAUGGUAGAUUUCUUUUCUUUCUUUUUUUUUUUUUUUUUACAAUUCAGAGAAUUUUUUUCUGAUCUGGAAAAAUACAAGACUGUGGAAGUAUAAAGCAAGAACACAUUGAUGCUUAUACCAUUCUGUAGCCAGAAAGAACAAAACUUAUACAAAUAAGUACUUGGUCUGACAAGGACACACCCUGAUUCAAAUCAGCACAUAUAUACUGGAAUAGUAAAUGAGUUGAUUUUUAUUUUCUAUCAACAUGCAGCAUAUCCAAGUCUCAUCGUCAGCCAAGAGUGAAUCGUCAAAGAGGAUCCUUCCUUUAUCCCCAGAUGAUAAAUGUGGUUAUGCAAGAAUGUUACCGUGAAGGGCUUUCCUUUUUCUUUUCAGAUUCCAAAUUUGAUUUUAUGUAAAUCACAUGAUUGUCAAACAAAGACUCUCAGGGGAGAGGCACACAAUGGCUUGAAAGGUGACUUGCAGCAGGCGUGCAUCUCUCAGACUGCGAUUACUUUGAAGUCAAAAUCAACUAGAAAGCAGGUGAUUUUUGAGAUGGCUGUUGAAGCUGCAGAGAUGUCGUGUGGAAGGUUUGUGCUUAAUCCAACCCUAGUUUCAGUAGCACUAAAUAUGUUGUCAAUCUCAGGCUGUUAG